CUGAGACACCUGAAUCUGAGACACCGAAUCCUGCUGCCAUUAGAAAGCAUUCCAUCACAAGCCUUGAGGAGUGUAUUUUUCCAGCUUUCUAGACCCCUAGAGCAGGCGAAAUGCCUCUCUUCCAUUCACCACCUCUGAAAGAUUCCCCCCAGGUCGCUGACCCUGAGCUCUCCAGCUCAUUCAUCCAGAAACGCUCUGUGGACACCUGCUCUCAGCAUGGCCCAGCUUGGUCCCGGCUGGGUAAAGACUCAGAGAGACGCCACUGUGGCCUCAGGAGCUCAGGAUGGCAGGGGAGAGAUGGGCCAGAGCAGCUGAGGAGAAUGGGACUGUAGACCUAAGACCGCUUCAUAGACCCCAGCUGAGGCCCGUCCCUGAGGGGGCAGCGCAGCCCCCGGGAGAGGCCUGGGAAGCAGAGCUCAGGCCUGGCUCUGCUGCCAACUUCCGUGGCUCCCCUCAGGCUCUUUCUGGACUCGGCUGCCUCCCUCCAGCUCAGAACACCGAGGUUUCCAGACGGAAGCCGCUUCUCCUCUGACUGAUUCUCUUCUUGACCAAACUCUCCUCAG
rnacentral:lncRNA from 1 species